UCCCUGGUGGCUCAGAGGGUAAAGCAUCUGCCUGCAAUGUGGGAGACCUGGGUUCAAUCCCAGGGUGGGGAA
rnacentral:tRNA from 1 species